UGUAGCUUAGUGGUAGAACACUUGUCUUGCAUGCAUGAGGCCCUGGGUUCAAUCCCUAGCA
rnacentral:tRNA from 1 species